GUUUUAAUAAUUUAAUAAAAAUAUUAACUUUGUAAGUUAAAAUUAGAAUAUACAUCUUUAAAACA
rnacentral:tRNA from 1 species